GAUUCCAAUGUGUAGCAAAGUAGGGCAACCACUGCCCCCAGCCAAACCUAUGGGGUGGGGCAUCUGAGAAAGCUUCCUGGAGGGGGUGCCAUGUAGGCAGAAGCCUUCAGUGCAGUGGGGGCUUGUGUGUAAACUUGGGAUGGAGGGCUGAUGGGGGUUCCUGGUGCCCAUAGAAGUUUCCAAAGGGACCAUAAUCUAGUUUGAAGACGCUGGGCUCUGGAGACAAGCCAUCUGGGUGUGAGUCACACUGCACUCUUACCGACUAGUGUGACCUCAGGCAAGUCAUCCCAACAGUAAGAAGUGAGGUUUCUUGUAUGUGCUUAAUCCUCACAGCGACCCCGUAUCUUGGGAGCUUAGUGUGACAAGACGUGACACCGGAGAGAUGGGGGAACAAAGCCGCAGAAGGCGUUAUCACCGUGCUCUUGACCUGAAGGCCCUGGGAAGCCACUGGAGAGUGUCAGUGCGGGGGAGGCGUGUGGAGAUGUGUGUGGAGAAUGUGCUAGAGAACAACAUGCCUGGAGGAGAGUCGUCAGGGAGGGGGCCCGUCGCCACCACACAGGUCAGAUGUGACGGUGGCCUGCCUGCCAGACGGAUGAUAGAAGACCUGUCAAGAUGGUGAAAUAGGCAAGACUUGAAGGUGAGGAAAUGGCCCAUUUCUGGGCUCGACAAACUGGGUGGUCUGUGUGCAGAGUUGGGGAACCCCCUACACCCAGCCCUACCACUAGGUUUCCUCUUUCUUCUGUAGACGGAGGGCUGGAGAUAGGCAUGGUCAGAGUGGGCCUUUUGACACCGUGGUGCCCCGCCUCUCCACCCCGCCUCUCCACCCCGCCACACACAUACUUCCUGACAACGGUUUGGGCAUCUUAGAGUCAUUUCUUGGCUGAAGGCUGUGAAGGCCUGUCCAGGCGGGUUGAUUUCUUGUCACUGAAUGUGUCAUGCAUGUUCUCAGCCCCAGGCCUCGGCCCAUGCCUCCCCCUCUCCUCCCUAUCAGAAUCCUGCCUUCAGUCCAUCCUCCUCCACAGACACACUCCAGGGCUUGUGUCCUUGAAGCCCUCCUAAGCACAGUGACCGUCCUGCAAAGGACAGCGCCCCAGACGUGCCACUCAGUCCUGUUGUCAGGCCUGCACCUGUGGCACCUGAAACAGAAGCACCUGGAGUCUGAGGAGGGUCUGCACACCUCUGCCUGUCCCACCAAGACUGGCCCAGUGUUUUGCCGAGCAGAUGUGCGGAUUUGUGUAUCUAGUGGUGAAGACAUGGAGGCAGAAGGAAAUGUGUUAUCACUGAGAGAAAAGAGCAUGUUGCAAAAUGCUGUCCUCUCAACUUCGUUGAAAGCAGAAAGUUAAGCAUGUGUUCGUUGAAAAGAGAUGGCAAGAAAAUGAACAUUAAUGUUUGUACUGUGCUUUGGUUUGUUUUGGUUUUCCCAACUUUUCUACAAUUGACCUGUUUAAAAUACAGUCAAUGUCAUGUUAAAGUAAAGUAAAUGUGAGGCUACUUUCUUUUUUCUUAAUUUUUUGGCCACACCGUGCAGCAUGUGAGAUCUUAGUUCCCCGACCAGGGAUCAAACCUGUGCCCCUCACUUUGGUAGCACGAAGUCUUAACCAUUGGACUGCCAGGGAAGUCCGAGGCUACUUUCUUUGCUGAAACAGUAAACUAGGGAGGGGGUAAGAGGGAAGAGUCUAGAUAAGUAUUUAGGGUGGGGUUGAUUAUAGAAGGCCUUGAAACUCAGCUAGACUGUUUAGGUUUGAUGGUCACUACAAUGGCAGUGACAAGGUCAGCAAAUUACUAUUUGCUGGGCCAAACUAGGACUGAUAAUUGGACAGAUAACAGCCUAUUUGUGGGGAUGAGAGGACAGAAUACAGUAUCUGAAACUGCAAAACUCACAGAAAAGCAUUAUCACAGUAGGAAGCCUUAUGGAGUCCUUAAGGGAGUGAUACUCAUUUGCUGAUUCAUUCGUUCAGUCGAGUAUCAUUUAUGAAGCCCUAUCUGUAUGCCAGACACUGUGCUAUGUGCCUGAUGCAAUUAGGUCCUUUGAGAGCUGAGUGCAGGACACACUAGAAGAUAACAUGGGGAUAAAAUGUCCUAUUAGAUGGUCCCUGCAAAUCUAGGUGAGAUGCUCUGAGUCUCAGGAGUUGGGGUGGUGAGAAUCGAAAUUCUAGUGAUACUUAGAGGUCGUCUUUGCUUGCCUUGCAGUUGCACUAAGGUUCUUUUUCAGCACUUCGAACAGGGCAGAGGGCACAGCAGGCGCUCAACAAACAUGUGGCAAGUAAAUCAGAAUGUGGUGGAAGAAGGGCUUGCAGUCACUUCAUGUAUACAGUCAUCUCUGUAUCCGGGGGGAUGCUCAAAUCUCUUACAUAAAAUGGUGUAGUAAUUGCAUAUAACCUACGAACAUCCUCCCAUAUAUUUUAAAUCAUCUCCAGAUCACUUAUAAUACCUAAUACAACUUAAAUGUUAUGUAAAUAGUUGUAAAUAAAAUAUAUUUAAAUAGUUGCUAGGUGUGUGGCAAAUUCAAGUUUUGCCUUUUGGAACUUUCUGGAAAUUUUUUUUCAAAUAUUUUGAUCAGCAGUUGGUUGAAUUUGAGGAUGUGGAGCCUGAGAAUAUGAAGGACUGACUGUAGUUAGCUCAUUGCUAGUCAUGCUGGUAUAGAAAUGGCUACUGGGAAUAUUCCUAUGGAUCACUGUGAAAGGUGCAGGGCCAGAGAUUGUAUCACACUAAGUGUGUCCCCUGAGCCUGGGCUGUGAACACGUGGGCACUGUAGGAGAAUAAACUUUGAAAUGAUGAAGCCGGAAGCUAGUCCGGGGAACAUUCUUCUGAUCUUCAAAUGCAUAAAAUCAAAAACUUUUGUUCUUAUCAACUCCUAUUCAAAAUGGAAGUGCAAUCCUAGAAUUGAUAAAGAUUCUCUCCUUGACCAAACUCUAGUCAGGCUCCUCUGAAUUCCCUUAUCAACCAGGCCCUGACUAUUGGGCUUCUGUGUUUGUCUCUGCAUUGCCCGGUUUUAACAAGAAUCCUACUAUGUCAGUCAGUUUAGCCAGAAUCUGCCCCUCCUUAUUUGAUCACCCUCCUCCUCCAGCAUCCGCCAGUGAUGUCUGAUCACCCUGUCCUGCCUUCAGCGAGAAACCCCUCCCCCUGAUGCUUCCCCUUAGUAAUUGUCCAUCCACUGACCACCACUCUGUUCCUUGGCUAUCAAUCCCACUUUCCUUGCUGUAUUCAGAGUUGAGCCUGAUCUCUCUCCCUUCUACAAACCCCAUUGUAGUAGCCAGCCCCCCUUGAAUAAAGUCUUCCUUACCAUCUUUAACAAGUUUCAUGAAUAAUGAUUUUUUUAACGUAAUACACACUCUUUUUCAAAAUGGGAAUCACAUGAAAUAGAAUUUAUCAGAUUUUUUGUGUUUAAUUUUUUGGCUGAUUUGAACAAGAAAACUUGAAAUGCCCUGAAUUCCUAUAGUUUACAUACAAAAGAAACUGAUAGAGGUUUUCCCCAAAUUUAGCAACAAUCCCAAACGUUUACAUGACAAUACCAAUAAUAAUUUGUGAAUGUGAACAUUUUCUAAACUAUCCAUAAUCAAAAAACAAGUUUGGAUCAGCCACGUUAGAGGAAAGACUAGGCUAUGUUUCCAUUUUCUCUGUGGCAAACAAAACAGUUACAGAAUUGUCUCAGGAAGAGGUAUUCAAAGAGUAUACAGCCAAAAAAAGAUAGAAGUACAGUAGAGGGACUUCCCUGAUGGUCUAGUGGUUAAGACUCUUCGCUCCCAAUGCAGGGGGGUCCGGGUUCGAUCCCUGGUCAGGGAAUUAGAUCCUGCAUACAUGCUGCAACUAAAGAUCCCGUGUGCCGCAACUAAGACCUGGCGCGGCCAAAUAAAUUAAAAAAAAAAAAAAAAAGUACAAUAGAGGUGGAUUGGGCUGGAAAUUAAUUAAAAUGUUAUGUUAUUUUUCUGGAUUUUGUGAUGUUUGUGGUACUUCUCGGCUUUUUUUUCCUUUUUCUUUUUUGGCUGCACCGUGUGGCAUGCAGGAUCUUAGUUCCCCAACCAGUGAUCAAACCCAUGUUCCCUGCAGUGGAAGCACAGAGUCUUAACCACUGGACGGCCAGGGAAGUCCCCUCUUGGCUUUUUAAUAUUUGUAAUUUAGUAUGCUUUUUUCCUCAUUCUAGAUAAAUUUUCAGGUUUGUACUCAUUUUAAUUGUGUUUUUGUUAUUUUGUAUUCUUUUUCUUACAGAGCCCCCCCUUCAACCAAAACAAACGUACAAACAAAUAAAAUAACCACCCUGUGUAAGCUUCAGGCCCCUCUGUCCCUGCCCCACAGAUGCAUGACUUUGUGACUCUCGUUGGGCCUCCGUGUCUUUCCUCCCAGUGAGGGCUGUUGCCCUGAGCUUCCACCAGACACUCUUCCAGGGAGAAUUAAGGGAUGAGCUAGAUAAUCCGGCCGUCAGGCCUCACACCUGCACAGGCAAAGCACAAGACAUCCAGUAUUUCAUCUGAUCCUUACUGCAAACCAUUUGAAAUAAAACCCAAUUUUUAAUUAUGGAAAUGUUCACAUUUACGCAUAAGUAGGUGGAAUAACUCCAGUCCAUGCUAUGGGCUGGGCUUGGUGAGGUGAGGGGAGCGCUGGGCUAGGCAUGGGGGCCAGAAGUUAAAUCUCUACGGGCUGAAUCCUCUUUCUCUGCACCCCCUGCCCAUGCUUCUUGGUGCUGGGCAUGUGUGAUUAUGUGGUCACAUCUGCACACUUCUGCCUGGCUUGGAAAUGGGCAGAACCUCUGGUCUAUGGGAAAGGUGCAAGAAGCUGCAGCAGCCUUGGGGCUCCUUCAAAACAUGAGAUGGGAUUGAGGCUGCUUCUCCCAGGGGCCUGAUGGGCACAGGUCCCCCGGCGGCAGGCCUGGGGACCGGCAGGGACAGCACUGGAAUCACUGGGGGAGCUUUUGCCACUUAUGUGCUGUGCACCUCAAACAAGCCUAUGCUGAUACAGGCCGGAGAAGGGAGAGGACAGGGACAUUUUGGAAAAGUUCGCAGGCAAAUCUGAUACCCACCCACUUUCCGGAUGAGAACCAUGGCCUGAGGGGCUCAUGGGAGUAAAUGGGAGCCUGCAGGGGCCCAGACCUGCUCACCACUGAAUGGGACCACCCGCCCCUAGAGGAGCAUGGAGUAGAGCUGAAAGCCAGACCGCCUGGGGUGAACGGCUGACCCACCUCCUCGCUAGCCAUUUGACCCUGGCAAGUCGCUUGACCUUGGAAUCUGCCUGCUUAUCUAAAAAAUGGAAAUAAUCGAAGCACCUUACCUUAAAUGUGAUAAUGCACAUAAAGCACUUAGCACCUGAAGAAUUAGACACGUACCGCUCAAAAAUGUUAGGCGCGCUAACAUAAAUUUCCUUCGUUGACAUCAGCCACGGGUGAAGAGAAAGGUGUAAGUGGCGGGCUCUUCUCCCUCCUUCACAUCGAGGGGGCAGGAGGCAAGAUGCCAAAGGCCAGAGGCCAGAGGCUCAUCCUGAAAUCCAGUCCAGCUGGAAUCUCCUUUCAGCUCUGCUGGGACCACCCUCUGUUGUCUGAAGCUGGGGAGGUGAGUUUGGGGGAUGAGUCUCCGUGUCAUCCAUGCCCAUCCCUUCUGCGGGCAGCAGGGGGCUGUCCCAGGAGUGGGGAGAGCCCACAGACAGUCUUCCCUUGUCAGCCGGAACAGGUGGGAAGACUGGAACCAGAGGAGCGACCUGGGCUGGGGCGUGAGGGGUGGGGGGAACGGUGGAGGAGGCAGAGCUCUUCACGGGCGUCCCCUUCUCCCCUUUUCCCUCUUGUCUGGCAGCCCCACCCCCGGCGCUCAGGUCUGCACACUACCAAAGUGCCCGCUCAGGAGGAAAGGGCCUUAAACUCAUUUCAUGAAGAUGUCAAGGCCCAGAUGCAUUUCAUCGAAGACCAGGCGACGCCUUGGAGUGAUUUUCAAAUGGCAGCAGAAGCCUUUCUUCAAACGCUCUCACUCAAGUGCUCAGACUGGGGAGGGACUGGAGGACUGGCACCCUCCCCGUGGUGCCUCUGGGGGCCCCUAGGGCUGAGGGAGCGAGUUCUACGAGGGAAGGUCUCCUCAGCCAUGAGGCCCACUCUGCGCCCUCCCCUCCUGAAGCCAGUCAGGGCAGGGUCAGCACUUGAUCGGUACUCUGUCCCCUACUCCUGUUGGGCCCUUGGCAGGCGGGCAGUAGGGAGUGAGGCAUGGCCUUCUUCGAUGCGCACCCUGCCAGGCAGCUCCUGGCCCGUGAGGCCCUCCUGGAUGCUUGGACCCACGUGGACCCAGCGCCAGGCCUUCUCUGCCCCACACCCUGGGGUCAGAAGGCCAGCGCCUCUGAAAUUAAUCCCAGCUUAAUUAGCUGGACUUGGACACAUGGCAGCCACAGCAGCCAUUUGGUAAUGCGGCUAAGGAGCUGCACCCUCCUGGAGAUCAGAUGAGACAAAUCUAAUGUCCAAAGGCCUCCGGCUGUGCCCUUUCAGAUAACUUACCGCUCCCACCCUGCCGCUGGGCGCUCACGGGUCCUGUGUGCUGGCCACCAGGUUCCCUGUUCUAUCCUCAGAUGUGUGUGAUUCCUCCCUGCACGCGGCAGUCACAAGUAACAGAUUUGAUGUACAGACAGCCAAAUGGAGGCGCUUAAAACAGAGCCGAGAGAAAAAAGUCAGAGAGGGAGAUCCGUAACACAACCCAUUUGCAUUCAUUAAAAUUAUAUGGGGCCCAAACAAGAAGGUACAUGUGUAAAAAAUACAAAAUCUGCUAGAAAGUUGCCCUAUGCAGAGGAGACAGAGGGAGAAGACAGUGGGACCCAGAGGAGAUGAGAGAGACGGAGAAAUGGAUUUCUUUUUUUUUUUUUUUUUUUUUUUUUGUGGUACGCGGGCCUCUCACUGUCGUGGCCUCUCCCGUUGCGGAGCGCAGGCUCCGGACGCGCAGGCUCAGCGGCCAUGGCUCACGGGCCCAGCCGCUCCGCGGCAUGUGGGAUCCUCCCGGACCGGGGCACGAACCCGUGUCCCCUGCAUCGGCAGGCAGACUCUCCACCACUGCGCCACCAGGGAAGCCCAGAAAUGGAUUUCUAUUGUGUUCAAGCCCCUCCACAUCUCAGUGGUGUAAAGAACACUGGGGCCUGCCCAGCUGCACCGCAAAGAACACCAGCACCAAGAAGAGGAAGAGUGACGACACCGAUGCCAAGGCGACCACCAGAGGGCUAUCGGUUACCAGGGUGUAGUAAUUCUCUACAGAUGGCUUCAGGACAAAGGGGAGAUUGUCUUGGAUGGAGCACACCAUCUUUGUAUUGUGCCCUGAAUCUCUGUCUCGAA